rnacentral:rRNA from 1 species
CCGGCCACACUGGAACUGAGACACGGUCCAGACUCCUACGGGAGGCAGCAGUGGGGAAUCUUGCGCAAUGGACGAAAGUCUGACGCAGCAACGCCGCGUGGGGGAUGAAGCUUCUCGGAGUGUAAACCCCUUUCGACCCGGACGAAUGCCCGCAAGGGUUUGACGGUACGGGUAUAAGAAGCCCCGGCUAACUACGUGCCAGCAGCCGCGGUAAAACGUAGGGGGCCAGCGUUGCUCGGAAUUACUGGGCGUAAAGGGUCCGUAGGCGGUGUGGCAAGUCGGAAGUGAAAUCUCUGGGCUUAACCCAGAGGCUGCUCCCGAAACUGCUAUGCUAGCGUGCGAGAGAGGCGAGUGGAAUUGCGGGUGUAGCGGUGAAAUGCGUAGAUAUCCGCAGGAACAUCCGAGGCGAAAGCGGCUCGCUGGAUUGCAACUGACGCUGAGGGACGAAAGCUAGGGGAGCAAACAGGAUUAGAUACCCUGGUAGUCCUAGCCCUAAACCAUCAGGACUUGGGGUUUGCCCUGUACGGGGCAAGUCCCGUAGCUAACGCGUUAAGUCCUGCGCCUGGGGAGUACGGUCGCAAGGCUGAAACUCAAAGGAAUGACGAAGGCG